UACAGGGGUCCCAAGCGUUGUUCGGAUUCACUGGGCGUAAAGGGUGCGUAGGUGGCUACUUUAAGUUUGAUGUGAAAGCUCCGGGCUCAACCCGGAAAUGGCAUUGAAGACUAUUGAGCUAGAGGUUUGGAGGGGGGACUGGAAUGCUUGGUGUAGCAGUGAAAUGCGUAGAUAUCAAGCGGAACACCGGUGGCGAAGGCGAGUCCCUGGACAACACCUGACACUGAGGCACGAAAGCUAGGGGAGCAAACAGG
rnacentral:rRNA from 1 species